CCUCACAAAAUACAACCAGUAUUGGUAGCAGAAUCUUCGCUGAAAAUAUUGCUGAUAUCUUGCAAAAAAAAAAAAAAAAAAAAAAAGAUUCACUGCUGGAAAUGCUGCCAUUGUCUCGCUAAAAAACACCCAGUUUUGGUGACUCAGUCUUCACUGGCAAUGCCACUGAUGUCUCUCUAAAAAACACCCAGUUUUGGUGACUCAGUCUUCACUGGCAAUGCCACUGAUGUCUCUCUAAAAAACAACCAGUUUUGAUGGCACAGUUGCUGCUGGGAAUACUGCCAAUGUCUCACUAUAAAAACACACUGCAGAGACUUAGGGCUGCUGUAAAACUGCAUUUACUUGGGGCAACAAAAAAAAGUUUGUCUUAGAAAUAUAGCUGAUGUCCUGCAAAAUGAGAAAAAAAAAACUUUCGGUGGCACAAUCCCACUGGAAAUGAAAGCUUGUUAAACAAGUAGUUUUGUUGUUGGUUGGUUUCAAAAAGUGGUCUGCAGCAUGGCGGUCAUCUCGCCUUGGUGACACACCAACCACCUUCCCCCCAUCUCUCGAUGACAAAGCUCAUAUACAUGUAAUCAGUCCUUCGCCACUGUAGAAAUGUUGAUAUGAUACAUAUGAAACGAGCAAAUGUAAGAUAUCCCCGGUUUGCAGAAGCAUACAAUGCCAAUAUUUUCUUCUAGCGACUGGGCUGUAAUUAAUGCAGUUUCUAAUACCCAAGAGGUAUCAUAUGCCUUAUGCCAUUGAGACAUCAUAUUAGUAUUCAAAGCAAAGAACGUCCUCCUGGGUAUUGUGGUUUUUAUAUGACAGCUAUCAUUUCAUGCACUGAAUUUAUACAUAAGAAAGAGAAAGAAACAGGAGAAAACAACAAAAGGCAACUAGCUCUGUGGGUACCAUAAAAACUAUUAUGACAGCUAGUAAUGAUGACCAGGAAUGUUUUAUUGAAACUGCCUGUUCACUUUUUGCCUAUCUAACCCUUCAGACAUCAUGGACUAAAAAUUUAAGGGCUACAAAACUCCACAUUUUUAGUUUGCCUCCUCUCCCCAAAGAGCUUCUCCCUCAGUCACUCGGUUUCCCAUAGCAGCAUUUCCUGUGCCUUUUUAUCAUAAAUCCAUUUCUGUUGUUAUUGGGUCAGACUUACUCUCCGAUGGGACCUCAUGUUGCUUUAAAAACCAAUAACAGAGAGCCUCUGGCAAGUUUCCGGACAAUUUAUCAUUGUUGCUAAAUGUAAGCAGGGCACUGUGGUGAUGUUUACAAAUUCAAAGGCAGGUUAUGGGGGACAGUGUGUGAGAGUGUGUUUGUGUGUAUGUGUGAUUGGGGAGGUGGGGGUGACCUGGUGUGUCAGUCAGGUGAUGUUUGAGAGAUAAACUCGCUUCCUGACAGAUGCGGGGGUAACAGGUGACAUUUUGAUUAUUUUGAUUAAUGUAUGAAUGCUGCAAAAGGUUUAAUAUUUAAAGAAAAAAUGUGCAGGACUGAAAUAAAAAUUAUGGAAUAAAUUCUUUCUGCUGUCUGAAGAUUUUACUGUUUACUGUUUACUGUAAAUCCAACCCCUUCCAUGUUAGCAAAUGGGACAUGGGUCAAACUAAAAAAAUGUAAGUACAGUCAAAUACAUUUUUCCCUAAGAUAGUUUCUGUUCUUAUCAUGCUGAUGUAUGUUCAUGUUUAGUUUCCUGAUAUGUUUGAUUAUAGUUAGUUAUUUGUUGCUAUAGAAAGAGGGGUGAUGUCAUGACUGACAGCUGCAUGUGCCAGUGGGCUUGCGUUCAAUGGUGCUGCUCACUAUUGGUCAACACUGCAGACCUUCUAUCCAUACCCUGGCUCCAAAUGACAUCACCAAUAGCAGUAGCAGGUACGUAGGGAUGCAAACAUACAUACCCUGAGGUAUUGUUUGUUCUUUUUUUUGCUUUUGUUGUUGAGGUAGUGUACGGGUGCAAACACACCCUAAGGUGUUGUUUGUUUUAAGUGUAUUUAUCUAUUGUUAAAGUAGCACAGGGAUGCAAACACACCCUGAGGUAUUGCUUUUUUUUAUUUAUUUAUUUUUGCUAUUAUUAGUAAGGUAGCAUAGGGUGCAAACAUACCCUGAGGUAUUGUUUUUAUUUUAUUAUUAAGAUAGCGUAGGGGUCCAAACACACCCUAAGGUAUUGUUUUAUUUUAUUAUUAAGAUAGUGUAGGGGUGCAAACACACCCUAAGGUAUUGUUUUAUUUUAUUUGAUUAUCAAGGUAGCGUAGGGGUGCAGACACACCCUGAGGUAUUGUUUUUUUUUUUGUUUUUUUUUUUUUUUAAUUAGUUUGUUUUGCUUUUAUUGUUAAGGUAGCGUAGGGGUACAAACACACCUUGAGGUAUUGUUUUUAUACUAUUUUAUUGGUAAGGUAGCGUAGGGGUGCAGACACACCCUGAGGUAUUGUUUUUUUUUUAUGUAUUGUUAAAGUAGCAUAGGGAUGCAAAAACACCCCGAGGUAUUUUGUUUUUUUUUUGUUUUGUUUUAUUAUUAUUAUUGUUAAGGUAGUGUAGGGGUACAAACACACCUUGAGGUAUUGUUUUUAUUUUAUUUUAUUGUUAAGGUAGCGUAGGGGUACAAACACACCUUGAGGUAUUGUUUUUAUUUUAUUUUAUUGUUAGGUAGCGUAGGGGUACAAACACACCCUGAGGUAUUGUUUUUAUUUUAUUUUAUUGUUAGGUAGUGUAGGGGUACAAACACACCCUGAGGUAUUGGUUUUUUUUUCUUUUUGAAUUAGUUUGUUUUUUGCUUUUAUUGUUAGGUAGUGUAGGGGUGCAAACACACCCUGAGGUAUUGUUUUUAUUUUAUUUUAUUGUUAAGGUAGCGUAGGGGUACAAAAACACCUUGAGGUAUUGUUUUUAUUUUAUUUUAUUGUUAAGGUAGCGUAGGGGUACAAAAACACCUUGAGGUAUUGUUUUUAUACUAUUUUAUUGUUAAGGUAGCGUAGGGGUGCAGACACACCCUGAGGUAUUGUUUUUAUUUUAUUUUAUUGUUAGGUAGUGUAGGGGUACAAACACACCCUGAGGUAUUGUUUUUUUUUUCUUUUUGAAUUAGUUUGUUUUUUGCUUUUAUUGUUAGGUAGUGUAGGGGUGCAAACACACCCUGAGGUAUUGUUUUUAUUUUAUUUUAUUGUUAAGGUAGCGUAGGGGUACAAAAACACCUUGAGGUAUUGUUUUUAUACUAUUUUAUUGUUAAGGUAGCGUAGGGGUGCAGACACACCCUGAGGUAUUGUUUUUUUUUUUUUUUUUAUUGUUAAAGUAGCAUAGGGAUGCAAAAACACCCCGAGGUAUUUUGUUUUUUUUUUGUUUUGUUUUAUUAUUAUUAUUGUUAAGGUAGCGUAGGGGUACAAACACACCUUGAGGUAUUGUUUUUAUUUUAUUUUAUUGGUAAGGAAGUGUAGG